CAAACUAGCACCUUUUGGCUAUUCAAACGUUGUUCUUAUCUGAACUUGUAAAGGGAGGGUGCUGGAGCUUUUAGGAGUGGGUAGAGAACUUGCUUUGGACAGGAAAUUAGGUCGGAGAAGAGAAUAAACGAUAAGAAUUGAGUUUGGUUUGGGUAUUGACGAAACUAUGGGGAGAUCAAUAUUUUUGGUUUCUCAACGGAUUUUGAAGGACCUAUUUUGUGGUUAGAGGACCUAUUUUGUACCAGAGAUUGCAAGCAUGCUGAUAGCACUGUAGGAAAAAUUUAGAAAGUAAAGUUCCAGAUAUUGCAAAAUCUGGAUUUACAUCGGCAUGGUUGCCGCCAUCAACUCAUUCCUUUGCCCCGGAAGGUUACCUCCUUCAGAACAUAUAUUCCCUCAAUUCUGAAUAUGGAUCUAAGCGCCAAUUAGGAGGUUUACUAAAAAAAAUUGGGCUACCUCCCUCAAAACAUAUAUUCCAUCGAAUUGGGUUUAUUUAUUUACAGCUUACUCUGUUUUGUGUUUCCGAAUAUUCAAUUAGUUAUGCAGCUAAAUAUGUGAAGGAGUAUAUUGAAGGAGCAAAACCAAUUUUUUCCGCUGGGGAGUAUUGGGAUUCUUGCAACUACAAUGGUCAUGGUUUGGACUACAACCAAGGAAGCUGUCAAGGGACAAUUAUGGAGCUUACGUGAUCCCCAGGGGAAGCCACCAGGUGUAAUGCACUAGUACAACUAGCUAGUUCCUAUAUUUAACUUGUGUCUAGUAGAAAUUCUUCCUUCAUUAAGUAUUUGGACUUGUCUGCAGAUUCAGAUUAGUAGAUAUGGGCCAUUUUGAACUAAUGCUCAUGAUUAGGUUUGUGUACAUGAGACAAUGGUGGAUUGGUGAAAAUUGCAAUGAAUGAUUUUGGAUGUGUAUUUUAUGGUUUUAUGAAUGGACAAUUUUAAUGUUUAGAUGAA